ACCUGCGGAAGGAUCAUUACCUAGAGUUGUAGGCUUUGCCUGCUAUCUCUUACCCAUGUCUUUUAAGUACCUUACGUUUCCUCGGCGGGUCCGCCCGCCGAUUGGACAAUUUAAACCAUUUGCAGUUGCAAUCAGCGUCUGAAAAAACUUAAUAGUUACAACUUUCAACAACGGAUCUCUUGGUUCUGGCAUCGAUGAAGAACGCAGCGAAAUGCGAUAAGUAGUGUGAAUUGCAGAAUUCAGUGAAUCAUCGAAUCUUUGAACGCACAUUGCGCCCCUUGGUAUUCCAUGGGGCAUGCCUGUUCGAGCGUCAUUUGUACCUUCAAGCUCUGCUUGGUGUUGGGUGUUUGUCUCGCCUCUGCGUGUAGACUCGCCUCAAAACAAUUGGCAGCCGGCGUAUUGAUUUCGGAGCGCAGUACAUCUCGCGCUUUGCACUCAUAACGACGACGUCCAAAAGUACAUUUUUACACUCUUGACCUCGGAUCAGGUAGGGAUACCCGCUGAACUUAAGCAUAUCAAUA
rnacentral:rRNA from 1 species